rnacentral:rRNA from 1 species
UACGAAGGGGGGCUAGCGUUGUUCGGAAUCACUGGGCGUAAAGGGCGCGUAGGCGGCUUUAUAAGUCGGGGGUGAAAGCCUGUGGCUCAACCACAGAAUUGCCUUCGAUACUGUAGAGCUUGAGACCGGAAGAGGUAAGUGGAACUGCGAGUGUAGAGGUGAAAUUCGUAGAUAUUCGCAAGAACACCAGUGGCGAAGGCGGCUUACUGGUCCGGUUCUGACGCUGAGGCGCGAAAGCGUGGGGGAGCAAACAGG